UACUGAAACACCGGUUGCCGUAUGAUCACCGAAGUUAAGCAACAUUAAUCCUGCUCAAUACCUAAAUGGGUAACCGCUUAGGAAUACCAGGUGUUGUA